GUCACAUUAGUUAGUUGGUGGGGUAAAGGCCUACCAAGACUAUGAUGUGUAGCCGGGCUGAGAGGUUGAACGGCCACAUUGGGACUGAGACACGGCCCAAACUCCUACGGGAGGCAGCAGUAGGGAAUUUUCGGCAAUGGAGGAAACUCUGACCGAGCAACGCCGCGUGAACGAUGAAGUAUUUCGGUACGUAAAGUUCUUUUAUUAGGGAAGAAUAAAUGAUGGAAAAAUCAUUCUGACGGUACCUAAUGAAUAAGCCCCGGCUAACUAUGUGCCAGCAGCCGCGGUAAUACAUAGGGGGCAAGCGUUAUCCGGAAUUAUUGGGCGUAAAGGGUGCGUAGGCGGUUAAAUAAGUUUAUGGUCUAAGUGCAAUGCUCAACAUUGUGAUGCUAUAAAAACUGUUUAGCUAGAGUAAGAUAGAGGCAAGUGGAAUUCCAUGUGUAGUGGUAAAAUGCGUAAAUAUAUGGAGGAACACCAGUAGCGAAGGCGGCUUGCUGGGUCUUUACUGACGCUGAGGCACGAAAGCGUGGGGAGCAAACAGGAUUAGAUACCCUGGUAGUCCACGCCGUAAACGAUGAGUACUAAACGUUGGGUAAAACCAGUGUUGAAGUUAACACAUUAAGUACUCCGCCUGAGUAGUACGUACGCAAGUAUGAAACUUAAAGGAAUUGACGGGACUCCGCACAAGCGGUGGAUCAUGUUGUUUAAUUCGAAGGUACCCGAAAAACCUCACCAGGUCUGACAUGCUUCUGCAAAGCUGUAGAAACACAGUGGAGGUUAUCAGUUGCACAGGUGGUGCAUGGUUGUCGUCAGCUCGUGUCGUGAGAUGUUGGGUUAAGUCCCGCAACGAGCGCAACCCUUAUUGUUAGUUACCAGCACGUAAUGGUGGGGACUUUAGCAAGACUGCCAGUGAUAAAUUGGAGGAAGGUGGGGACGACGUCAAAUCAUCAUGCCCCUUAUGACCUGGGCUACAAACGUGAUACAAUGGCUGUUACAAAGGGUAGCUGAAGCGCAAGUUUUUGGCGAAUCUCAAAAAAACAGUCUCAGUUCGGAUUGAAGUCUGCAACUCGACUUCAUGAAGUG
rnacentral:rRNA from 1 species